ACUGCUGCUCCUUCCGCAGGAUGACUGCAGUGAGUACCGCUCCCAGUUUGAGGCUGGUGGGCGGCUGUCCUGCACGCGGGAGAACGACCCCGUCCGGGAUUCCUCUGGCAAGCAGCAUACCAACAAGUGCCUCAUGUGUGCCGAGAAGCUCAAAAAAGAAGCUCAAAGAGGAGGUCAGUCUGGUGGAACUGCCCAGCGCAACAAACAGUCCACUGCAGAGUGUGCAAACCAGAAGAGCUGCAGUGGCUCAGGGUUACAGCAGGGUGUAAAUGAGAGACGGCCGUUCUCCACAAACAGAGGGUGAGUACAGCAGCACUGGAAUCCCAGCCUGGCCCCACAAGUCCUGGGGUCUUGACACUGAGAAGAAACA
rnacentral:lncRNA from 1 species